rnacentral:misc_RNA from 1 species
GUUUGAUCCUGGCUCAGAUUGAACGCUGGCGGGAUGCUUUACACAUGCAAGUCGAACGGCAGCACGGACUUCGGUCUGGUGGCGAGUGGCGAACGGGUGAGUAAUGUAUCGGAACGUGCCUAGUAGCGGGGGAUAACUACGCGAAAGCGUAGCUAAUACCACAUACGCCCUUCGGGGGAAGCAGGGGACCUUCGGGCCUCGCACUAUUAGAGCAGCCGAUAUCGGAUUAGCUAGUUG